UUCGAGUGGCGGACGGGUGAGUAACGCGUGGGUAACCUGCCUUACACAGGGGGAUAACACCUGGAAACAGGUGCUAAUACCGCAUAAGCGCACAGGGCCGCAUGGCCCGGUGUGAAAAACUCCGGUGGUGUAAGAUGGACCCGCGUCUGAUUAGCUUGUUGGCGGGGUAGGGGCUCACCAAGGCGACGAUCAGUAGCCGGCCUGAGAGGGUGGACGGCCACAUUGGGACUGAGACACGGCCCAAACUCCUACGGAAGGCAGCAG
rnacentral:rRNA from 1 species